rnacentral:rRNA from 1 species
GGCUAACCUACCCUUAGGAUGUUGAUACCCCCGAGAAAUUGGGGCUAAUAAGCAAUAGAUAUGAUGUCCUGGAAUGGUAUUAUGUCUAAAGGUACCUCAUACAUGUUUGAGUUACGCCUAAGGAUGGGGCUGCGGCCGAUCAGGCAGUUGGUGAGGUAAUGGCUCACCAAACCUUUGACCGGUAUGGGCCAUGAGAGUGGUAGCCCAGAGAUGGACACUGAGACAAGGGUCCAGGCCCUCCGGGGCGCAGCAGGCGCGAAACCUCCUCAAUACACUAACGUGUGAAGGGGUUACCUCGAGUGCCACCUGAAGAAGGUGGCUUUUCCGUGGUCUAAAAAGCCUAGGGAAUAAGAGGGGGGCAAGACUGGUGUCAGCCGCCGCGGUAACACCAGCCCCUCGAGUGGUGUGGAUGAUUAUUUGGCCUAAAGCGUCCGUAGCCGGCCGGGUAAGUUUCCCGUUAAAUCCAACGUCUCAAGCGUUGGACUGCGGGAAAUACUGCCUGGCUAGAGAGUGGGAGAGGUCAGCGGUAUUCUGGGGGUAGGGGCGAAAUCCUUUGAUCCCCGGAGGACCACCAGUGGCGAAGGCUGCUGACUAGAACACGUCUGA